ensembl:misc_RNA 7SK 7SK RNA
GGAUAUGAGGAUGAUCUGGCUGCAACUUCUGUUGUCAUUGAUCCCAGGGUUGAUUCGGCUGACCUGAGCGAAUAGGCCUUUUCUUGUCAUCUCUGCAUUUGCAUCCCUCUGGGAUCUGCACACUGCUCAGAAAACCUUCCCCGCAGAGGAAGAAGGGUCAAUGCCAUGUGACUAGCUGUGCUCCCCUGCUACAACCUUCACACAAGCUCUCAAGACACUGUCUGUGUAUCACUGACUGGCCUGGAACUCGCUCUGUAGACCAGGCUAUGCUCCAACUCACAGAGAUCUGCCUGUCUCUGU